rnacentral:rRNA from 1 species
UGAAAGUCGAGUGAACGUACUGAUAGCAAUACAGGUGGCGCACGGCGCACGGGUGCGUAACACGUGGGUAAUCUGCCCUCUGAUGGGGAAUAACCCGCCGAAAGGCGGGCUAAUACCGCAUAACAUUCCUUGGAUUUCGGUCCGGGGACUCAAAGGCGUAAGUCGUCGGAGGAGGAGCCCGCGCACGAUUAGCUAGUUGGUAGGGUAAUGGCCUACCAAGGCUUUGAUCGUUAGCUGGUCUGAGAGGAUGGCCAGCCACACUGGAACUGAGACACGGUCCAAACUCCUACGGGAGGCAGCAGUGGGGAAUCUUGCACAAUGGGCGAAAGCCUGAUGCAGCGACGCCGCGUGGGGGAUGAAGCAUUUCGGUGUGUAAACCCCUUUCGAUCCGGACGAAUACCUCGCAAGAGGGGUGACGGUACGGAUAUAAGAAGCCCCGGCUAACUACGUGCCAGCAGCCGCGGUAAGACGUAGGGGGCCAGCGUUGUUCGGAAUUACUGGGUGUAAAGGGUUCGUAGGCGGUGUGGCAAGUUGGGAGUGAAAUCUCUGGGCUCAACCCAGAGGCUGCUUCCAAAACUGCUGUGCUUGAGUGUGAGAGAGGCGCGUGGAAUUGCAGGUGUAGCGGUGAAAUGCGUAGAUAUCUGCAGGAACACCCGUGGCGAAAGCGGCGCGCUGGAUCACUACUGACGCUGAGGAACGAAAGCUAGGGGAGCAAACAGGAUUAGAUACCCUGGUAGUCCUAGCCCUAAACGAUCAGGACUUGGGGUGCCACCCGUUCGGGUGUCGUCCCGGAGCUAACGCGUUAAGUCCUGCACCUGGGGAGUACGGUCGCAAGACUGAAACUCAAAGGAAUUGACGGGGGCCCGCACAAGCGGUGGAACAUGUGGUUCAAUUCGACG